rnacentral:misc_RNA from 1 species
AAGUCGUAACAAGGUUUCCGUAGGUGAACCUGCGGAAGGAUCAUUAAUACGCUUUUGUUUGUAACAAAACAAAACGUUUUAAACCCCAAAAAUUGAAUAGUGGAAACAUAACUUCCGGAUGCGAAUGUUGGGGAACUUGAGUAAAAUCGGUUCUUUGAAAUAGGGACUUCAAGCAAUUGACACUUCAGAGUAGAGCAGUGAGGUGAAACUCGAAAGAGUUUGGUUCUGAAAAACAUUUGUAUCCGGUUAUCAAAAGUGUUCUACAACAUCAUUAAACAAUAAACCCCAUGUACAACAACUUGAACUAAACAUUUUUUUGUUGUCUGCUUUGCGGCAGAUGUGCAAAGAAAAAACCUGAACUUAAGAACAACUCUUAACAACGGAUAUCUUGGUUCUC